GUCUCUUGAAGCUCUCGCUUAACAUUCUCAAGACCUCCAAUAUCUUCCCAGCUCACAUUAGGCACUUCAACAACUGUUUCACGCAAAGCAGAUGGGUUGCUUGUUCCAAGUGCAGUUUGGAAGUGUUCAUUAGUAACUGCCAUAGAGUUAAGUAUCUCAGCAUCUAUCGACUCAUCUUCCAAAUCUAUCACAUCCAUCUUCUCCCUGAUGCACUGAAGUGCAGCCUCAGUGCAAAGAGCAGCUAAAUCAGCACCAACGUAACCAUGUGUGUCUUUGGCAAUUCUUUCUAAAUCAACAUCUUCAGCAAGCUUCAUAUUCUUUGUAUGGAUUCGAAGAACCUCAAGACGCCCAACUUCAUCUGGAACACCAAUAUCAAUUUCCCUAUCAAAUCUACCAAACCUUCUCAAAGCUGGGUCUAUGCUGUUGGGACGAUUUGUGGCCCCAAUGACAAUAACAUGAGCACGGGAUUUAAGUCCAUCCAUAAGUGUCAAGAGCUGGGAUACUAUCCUCCUCUCAACUUCACCAUGUGUCUUCUCCCGCUUAGGAGCAAUUGAAUCAAUCUCAUCA
rnacentral:misc_RNA from 1 species